rnacentral:rRNA from 1 species
AACGUACGCUGGCGGCACGCCUAACACAUGCAAGUCGAACGAAGUAGCAAUACUUAGUGGCAGACGGGUGAGUAACAUGUAGGGUAUCUGCCCCUUUGGUCUGGAAUAACACGGGGAAACUUGUGCUAAUACCGGAUAAGCCUUUACAGGGAAAGUUUUAAUGCCAAAAGAUGAGCCCGCACUUGAUUAGCUAGUUGGUAAGGUAAAAGCUUACCAAGGCAACGAUCAAUAGCUGUUCUUAGAGGAAGACCAGCCACAUUGGGACUGAGACACGGCCCAAACUCCUACGGGAGGGAGCAGUAGGGAAUCUUGCACAAGUCGGGGGAAACCCUGAUGCAGCGAUGCCGCGUGAGUGAAGAAGGCCCUUGGGUUGUAAAGCUCUUUCGUCGGGGAAGAAAAUGACUGUACCCGAAUAAGAAGGUCCGGCUAACUUCGUG